rnacentral:rRNA from 1 species
UACGUAGGUGGCAAGCGUUGUUCGGAAUUAUUGGGCGUAAAGCGCGCGUAGGCGGCUAUCUAAGUCGGAUGUGAAAGCCCCUGGCUUAACUGGGGAAGUGCACCCGAAACUGGGUAGCUAGAGUGCAAAAGAGGGUCGCGGAAUUCCCGGUGUAGAGGUGAAAUUCGUAGAUAUCGGGAGGAACACCGGUGGCGAAGGCGGCGACCUGGGUUGACACUGACGCUGAGGCGCGAAAGCGUGGGGAGCAAACAGG